AACGUAGGAGACAAGCGUUAUCCGGAGUUACUGGGCGUAAAGGGCGUGUAGGCGGUUGUGUAAGUCUGGCGUGAAAUUUUUCGGCUUAACCGGGAAAGGUCGUCGGAUACUGCACAACUAGAGGACGGUAGAGGCGUGUGGAAUUCCGGGUGUAGUGGUGAAAUGCGUAGAGAUCCGGAGGAACACCAGUGGCGAAGGCGACACGCUGGGCCGUACCUGACACUGAUGCGCGAAAGCAUGGGGAGCAAACAGG
rnacentral:rRNA from 1 species